rnacentral:ncRNA from 1 species
AGGAGCCUUAUGAUGGGAAACCAUCACGUACGGUUCGGUGACGGCCUGCGGGUUUUAACCAAUUUAACUUUUCACGCAAU